ACGACGCUNCGGGGGCAACUCCGUAGCGAGUGGCGAACGGGUGAGUAAUGCAUCGGAACGUGCCCUCUCGUGGGGGAUAACCAGUCGAAAGAUUGGCUAAUACCGCAUGAGCUCGAGAGAGGAAAGCGGGGGAUCCGCGAGGACCUCGCGCGAGAGGAGCGGCCGAUGCCCGAUUAGCUAGUUGGUGGGGUAAUAGCCCACCAAGGCGACGAUCGGUAGCUGGUCUGAGAGGACGACCAGCCACACUGGGACUGAGACACGGCCCAGACUCCUACGGGAGGCAGCAGUGGGGAAUUUUGGACAAUGGGGGCAACCCUGAUCCAGCCAUGCCGCGUGUGUGAAGAAGGCCUUCGGGUUGUAAAGCACUUUCGGACGGAACGAAAUCGCGCGGGUGAACAAUCCGCGUGGAUGACGGUACCGUAGGAAGAAGCACCGGCUAACUACGUGCCAGCAGCCGCGGUAAUACGUAGGGUGCGAGCGUUAAUCGGAAUUACUGGGCGUAAAGCGUGCGCAGGCGGCGCCGCAAGUCAGGCGUGAAAUCCCCGAGCUUAACUUGGGAAUGGCGCUUGAAACUACGGUGCUGGAGUGUGGCAGGGGGAGGUGGAAUUCCACGUGUAGCGGUG
rnacentral:rRNA from 1 species